UACGAAGGGGGGCUAGCGUUGCUCGGAAUCACUGGGCGUAAAGGGUGCGUAGGCGGUUCGAUAAGUCGGAUGUGAAAUCUCCACGCUCAACGUGGAGGGGGCCAUUCGAUACUGUCGUGACUCGAGUCCGGUAGGGGAGUGUGGAAUUCCCGGUGUAGCGGUGAAAUGCGCAGAGAUCGGGAGGAACACCCGUAGCGAAGGCGGCACUCUGGGCCGGUACUGACGCUGAGGAGCGAAAGCGUGGGGGAGCAAACAGG
rnacentral:rRNA from 1 species